rnacentral:rRNA from 1 species
UUGCUCUCUGGAUCAGUGGCGAACGGGUGAGUAACACGUGAGCAAUCUGCCCUUGACUCUGGGAUAAGCGCUGGAAACGGCGUCUAAUACCGGAUACGAGCUGCGAAGGCAUCUUCAGCAGCUGGAAAGAACUUCGGUCAAGGAUGAGCUCGCGGCCUAUCAGCUAGUUGGUGAGGUGAUGGCUCACCAAGGCGUCGACGGGUAGCCGGCCUGAGAGGGUGACCGGCCACACUGGGACUGAGACACGGCCCAGACUCCUACGGGAGGCAGCAGUGGGGAAUAUUGCACAAUGGGCGCAAGCCUGAUGCAGCAACGCCGCGUGAGGGACGACGGCCUUCGGGUUGUAAACCUCUUUUAGCAGGGAAGAAGCGAAAGUGACGGUACCUGCAGAAAAAGCACCGGCUAACUACGUGCCAGCAGCCGCGGUAAUACGUAGGGUGCAAGCGUUAUCCGGAAUUAUUGGGCGUAAAGAGCUCGUAGGCGGUUUGUCGCGUCUGCUGUGAAAACCCGAGGCUCAACCUCGGGCCUGCAGUGGGUACGGGCAGACUAGAGUGCGGUAGGGGAGAUUGGAAUUCCUGGUGUAGCGGUGGAAUGCGCAGAUAUCAGGAGGAACACCGAUGGCGAAGGCAGAUCUCUGGGCCGUAACUGACGCUGAGGAGCGAAAGGGUGGGGAGCAAACAGGCUUAGAUACCCUGGUAGUCCACCCCGUAAACGUUGGGAACUAGUUGUGGGGUCCAUUCCACGGAUUCCGUGACGCAGCUAACGCAUUAAGUUCCCGCCUGGGGAGUACGGCCGCAAGGCUAAACUCAAAGGAAUUGACGGGGGACCCCACAAGCGGCGGAGCAUGCGGAUUAUUCGAUGCAACGCGAAGAAC